GUCGAUCACCGAUAAAGAGAGGGGCUGCGACGUCUCUGAGGAAAAGAGGCAGCGAGGUGGAUAGAGGCAUCAAGCCAUGAAUUGGGAUUCAAACCAAGAACCAAUCUCGACUCAAGAGACAUGUCGCUACUCUGCAUCACAAGACCAACUUGACAUGAGAGACAUCCAAGUAAGGAGGACGAAAUAGGAACAUAGUCGUGGUAAGAGUACCAAUGCUGAGGGGGCAGUUGGAAGGUGGUGCACUCUGUUCUAUGAUGCAAGCCAUUUUAACCACAUUAAGGAGGAACCAUUACAUGUGGUCAUAUGGAACUUACUUAAAUGAGUAUAUAAAAAUGCUGCUCCUAACUGAUGAUUGUUGGAGUUGCUAGCCUUUGAUUAGGCACU